UACGUAGGGACCAAGCGUUGUUCGGAUUUACUGGGCGUAAAGGGCGCGUAGGCGGCGUGGUAAGUCUGCCGUGAAAACCUGAGGCUCAACCUCGGGCGUGCGGUGGAUACUGCCGGGCUAGAGGACGGUAGAGGCGAGUGGAAUUCCCGGUGUAGCGGUGAAAUGCGCAGAUAUCGGGGAGGAACACCAGUAGCGAAGGCGGCUCGCUGGGCCGUUCCUGACGCUGAGACGCGAAAAGCUAGGGGAGCGAACAGG
rnacentral:rRNA from 1 species